rnacentral:rRNA from 1 species
UACAGAGGCCUCAAGCGUUGUUCGGAUUCAUUGGGCGUAAAGGGUGCGUAGGCGGCGGAGUAAGUUGGGUGUGAAAUCCCGGGGCUCAACCUCGGAAUUGCAUUCAAUACUGCUUCGCUCGAGUACUGGAGAGGAGGCUGGAAUUUACGGUGUAGCAGUGAAAUGCGUAGAUAUCGUAAGGAAGGCCGGUGGCGAAAGCGAGCCUCUGGACAGUUACUGACGCUGAUGCACGAAGGCCAGGGGAGCAAACGGG